GACGAACGCUGGCGGCGUGCUUAACACAUGCAAGUCGAGCGGUAAGGCUCCUUCGGGAGUACACGAGCGGCGAACGGGUGAGUAACACGUGAGCAAUCUGCCCAUCACAUCGGGAUAACUUCGGGAAACCGAAGCUAAUACCGAAUACAACCACUUCAGGCAUCUGACGGUGGUGGAAAGUUCCGGCGGUGAUGGAUGAGCUCGCGGCCUAUCAGCUUGUUGGUGGGGUAAUGGCCCACCAAGGCUUCGGCGGGUAGCCGGCCUGAGAGGGUGACCGGCCACACUGGGACUGAGACACGGCCCAGACUCCUACGGGAGGCAGCAGUGGGGAAUAUUGGACAAUGGGCGAAAGCCUGACCCAGCAACGCCGCGUGAGGGAUGACGGCCUUCGGGUUGUAAACCUCUUUCAGCGCCGACGAAGCGAAAGUGACGGUAGGCGCAGAAGAAGCACCGGCCAACUACGUGCCAGCAGCCGCGGUAA
rnacentral:rRNA from 1 species